AUGAGAGAGGUCACCACCCUUGGAAAGAUCUGCCCGGCAGUGUUUCUUUGGGGGCAGGGGGCAGAGAGGAGCUGGCCCCCUCUUUGCUACGACCAAAAAAAAAAAUUUUUUUUUUUUUUUCUAGAAUGGCGUGCUGGAAUUUCCUCUCAGGAAGGCUGGACUUUCAGAAAUUCUCCCCUGUGCCUGGGUAUCUGCCCCGGGCAGCUCUCUUCAGUGCUCCCCCACCCCUCUCACUUCCUUUCCCCAUGGCCAGAAGAAUCUGGGCAGGUUAACUGGCUCUCCUGGCUCCACAGCCCAUACCGAGGUCUGUCUGUCUCUUACUGGAUGCACAGAUUCUCAAAUUCCUAGUAGAAAGAAUCUGGUUGGCCACCUGUGAAUAGUUCUGAACUAGGAGACAGGGAAUCAGUGAAAGGAUAAGACACAUCAAAAUGGAAAGUUUCAGUGCCAAGGAAUCACCCCUUCCUCAGUGAAAUAAGGUUUCCUGAUGUCCUUCAAG
rnacentral:lncRNA from 1 species